UACAGAGGGGGCAAGCGUUGUUCGGAAUUACUGGGCGUAAAGGGCGCGUAGGCGGCCCGCUAAGUCGAACGUGAAAUCCCCGAGCUCAACUCGGGAACUGCGUCCGAUACUGGCGGGCUUGAGGAGUGCAGAGGUGAGUGGAAUUCUCGGUGUAGUGGUGGAAUGCGUAGAUAUCGAGAGGAACACCAGCGGCGAAGGCGGCUCACUGGGCACCACCUGACGCUGAGGCGCGAAAGCGUGGGGAGCGAACCGG
rnacentral:rRNA from 1 species